GACGAACGCUGGCGGCGUGCCUAAUACAUGCAAGUUGAACGCUAAAGCUUUAACUGGUGCUUGCACCGACUUAAGUUUUUAGAGUAGCGGACGGGUGAGUAACACGUGGGUAACCUGCCCAUCAGAGGGGGAUAACACUUGGAAACAGAUGCUAAUACCGCAUAAACCUCAAAAGCACAUGCUUUUGAGUUGAAAGAUGGCGUAAGCUAUCGCUUUUGGAUGGACCCGCGGCGUAUUAGCUAGUUGGUGAGGUAAAGGCUCACCAAGGCUGUGAUACGUAGCCGACCUGAGAGGGUAAUCGGCCACAUUGGGACUGAGACACGGCCCAAACUCCUACGGGAGGCAGCAGUAGGGAAUCUUCCACAAUGGACGAAAGUCUGAUGGAGCAACGCCGCGUGAGUGAAGAAGGUUUUCGGAUCGUAAAACUCUGUUGUUGGAGAAGAACGUACGUGAGAGUAACUGUUCACGUAGUGACGGUAUCCAACCAGAAAGCCACGGCUAACUACGUGCCAGCCGCCGCAGU
rnacentral:rRNA from 1 species